AAAUGCGAUUCUCUCUUGCUGAUAUAGUUUGUUAAGAUUGCAUCGAUGAUUUGAGUGUUUUUGCAUAUAUACUUUGUUAACCCAUUGAAUAUACUUAUGAUUGCAUAUGAUGGAUUUUAGUGUUUUUGCAGGUCUACCCACGAGAGAUAUAUGCUUUCGGCCUUGUAGCUUGGACUGGAAAUGAUGUAUUAAAUAGGAGGUUGAGGCUAUAAGCAUAAUCUAAAGGAUUUCGGCUUGAUGAUACAGGGUUGUUUCCCAGCUACUCAGGGUUCUGGCGGCAAACGGGGCACAAAAGGUAAUGCAAGUUUGAAAUUGUCCACAGAAAAGGAAGUGUUUGAUUUCCUGGGAUUUCCUUGGCUUGAACCACAUCAAAGAAAUCUCUAAAUACAGGAAUAGUUCGGUUAGCCUGCUAGAAGUACGAUGUACAACACCCUUUUGUGAUGUUUGAAAGAGGUCUCUUGCGAGAUUUUUGCAUGCUCUGGUAUCCCUGCCUUGUAGACUACGGUGUGUAAAGCAGAAAAGGUUUCUCAUUGGGUGCUGCUUUGUGAAUAUUUAUAUGUAGGAAGGAUACAGGUUGACAAUUCUAUGGUCAUCUUCCAAAUACUGUGUACACAAAAAUAGCACAAUGAUAUGAAUGCUGUUUUUAUUUUUGGGAUUUGUUUAAAAUGUAUUAAGUGUUGACUGUUGUAUUUCUUUUUUCACCUUGAUUUC